ACGUAGGGUGCGAGCGUUGUCCGGAAUUAUUGGGCGUAAAGGGCUCGUAGGCGGUUUGUCGCGUCGGGAGUGAAAACCAUGGGCUUAACUCAUGGCUUGCUUCCGAUACGGGCAGACUAGAGGCAUGCAGGGGAGAACGGAAUUCCCGGUGUAGCGGUGAAAUGCGUAGAGAUGUGGAGGAACACCAGUGGCGAAGGCGACUUUCUGGUCUGUAACUGACGCUGAGGCGCGAAAGCGUGGGGAGCAAACAGGA
rnacentral:rRNA from 1 species